UAGAAAACAUUGCCCCAGUCUGCUAACCCAGAGGAAGCUUAACAGAGAGGUGAAGAUAUAGAUCUAGGAGGAGAGGGAGAGACUCAGGGAGGAGCUGAGCUGUUACUGAACUAUAGAAGAGAGAGGAACUUCUAGAUUCAACAGAGAUCAAUACACAGACCAGACUACUUUAUCCAGAAUGCGGUCAUUGGAUCAUUUUGUGCUUUUUCUACUUUUUAUUUCAAUUAUAACAGGAGUCAGCUGUGAAGAACUCACUCCAGUAGAGAAAGAGGAGAACAGUUUAGAAGACAGCUCUGUUACUCUGUCCUACAGAUACUCCAAAGGUUCUGCUGAUUAUUUCUUCUGGCAUAGACAAUAUCCAGGAAAACCCCCAGAGUUCCUCAUCUCUCACUUUGGAACGCAAAAUGCAACAAAGUCUGGACUGUCUGCUUCAGUGAGUGAGGAUAAAACCAAAAUACAUCUGCAGAUCUUCUCAGCUAAGCUGUCUGACUCUGCUGUGUACUACUGUGCUCUGCAGCCCACAGUGACAGGAAACACCAAAACUCUGUACAAAAACUUUUGGAGCAAAGACAACACAAUACUCCACAACAUCCACCAGAGGGUGACACACUCUGUUACACUUCAAUAUGAUGUAGUCUAGAAUCACUUUACCUUAGAAGUGUAACUGAGAGAAGAGAAACUACAGAGCUACGAGGAGACGGAGAGACUCAGGGAGGAGCUGAGCUGUUACUGAACUACAGAAGAGAGAGGAACUUCUAGAUUCAACAGAGAUCAAUACACACACCAUCAACAUUACCUUUAUUCAACAUGCUGCCACUGCAGCAUUGGGGGUUUUCUUUGAUGUUCUU